rnacentral:tRNA from 1 species
AGUAUAGUGUAGUGGGAUCACACUGGACUUUGAAUCCGGAGACUCGAGUUCAAAUCUCGGUAC